rnacentral:rRNA from 1 species
AGGUAGCAUAAUCAUUUGUUAUCUAAAUGAUAACUAGUAUGAAUGGUCUGACGAGAAAAUAACUUUCUAAAAAGAAAUAAUAAAAAUUUAUCUUAAAGUAAAAAAGCUUUAAAAACUUAGAAAGACGAGAAGACCCUAGAACCUGUCUAUCUGCAUAGUUUGUUGGGGUGACAUUAUUUUAAAACAAAUAACUAUUUUAACUCAUUAAGAGACUUUACCUAUCUUUUUUAAAAAAAAAAAAGGUACUCUAGGGAUAACAGCAUAAUCUUCUUUUAGAGCCCUAAUCGACAAGAAAGAUUUUGACCUCGAUGUUGAAUUGAUAUUCCUUCUUAAAGCAGAA